UUUUUAUCAGAAGGCCGGACAAGAAUCCAUAACAUAUAUGAUUCAAUCCCAAAAUAGCACUAAACAGAAUUUGAGGAAUACAGUGAUGCAAAUUCUUUAAUACAGUUGGAAAAGCAGAACAAGUGAAGAGACAAAGUAAAAAGAAGACGACCUAACUGAGGCAGUAUUAAGCAACAAGAAGCAGAAGAUGAAAGGAGAAUAAAUAAAUAAAAAAUGAAUUGAAAAAAAAGAAGUUAAAGUGAAACGCAGGUUAGUUUGUAGCAUUUUUUGUAUCCUCUGUGACGUUCUCUCUUCACCGAACUCUCCCGCGGAUCCAGCACCGUACGCGGAGGAUACCAUCGCACACCAGAUCUCUCUCUCACUCUCUCUCUCUCUCGAUGAAUGAUUUCGAUGGUCUCUUAACCAGCGAUUUCGGGUUCAAACCCCAAGGAAAAUCGGCGCCAAUGGCAGCACCUAAAGCUUCGUCCAACAAUUCAUCUUCUCUCAACUUCGAUUUAGGUUCGCGGUCCGCUCGAGCUUCCAAUUCCUUGGCCGGUCACGACUCCGUCAACGCCGCUUCCUUUGACGAUCUCUUUAGCGGCGGUGGCAAGUCAGACGCGUCCUAUGACUUCGACUCCGUGUUUCGCCGCUCCGCCGAUUUCCGCUCCAAGUCAGUUAACCUCCCGGCGCAUGACAAACCGGUCUACGACAAACCGAUGCAUGACGACGACGACGACAUUUUUGACGGCGUUCCCGGCCUCAAGAGCUCCUCCAAGUUCUCGUACGGCGACGUUCUCACUCCGGCCGCGUUCGAUGAUCUUCUCGGCGGGUUAGGUAAAUCGAAGCCUUCGGAGAAGGAAGAGCGAGGUGUCGCGGAUUUUGAUGACUUGAUCCCUGGAUUCGGGAGCAGCAAGGUUUCCACUGAUGGGACCGUUCCUAAUAUUGAUUUGUCAUCACAACCUACUAUCAAUUCUUCUAAAAAGGCUUCUGGUGAAACAGAUGACCCUUUCAAAGUGUUUGAACCAACUUCAGCCUCAACGAAUUCAUCCUCAAAAUACUUUACAGACCCAUUGGGAGAAAUUAGUAAAUUUAGCAGUUCUAGAAGCACAAAAAAUGAUAGUUUGUCAAAUUCUAAUGGUGAAGUAUAUGAUGAUAUUAAUCCCUUUGGUGCACUUGGAAAUUCUGUGCCUGCAUUCUCACCAGAGAGAAAUAGCACAAAGGGUAGUAGCUCCCCAAAUACAACCAGUGAUAAAGAAUCAAGUGGUGUAUCAUCUGUGAGGAGUCCUGAGAGACAAACACAAAACGAGAUUCUUGUUGAUAAUGAUCAGGAAUUUCAUCAGGCUGCAUUUGACAUGCCUACAUAUUCCUCCAAUUCUUACAAACCAUUUGGCGAAAGGUCCCCUUCACAUGAUAAUGAUGGUUUUAAACCGUCUAAUGCCCAGGCAGAUAUGACUCCUAAAUAUGAAGAGGACUUUGAAUCAAAUGAUGAUAUAUGGCUGACGGUAUCAGAGGUUCCUCUUUUUACUCAGCCAACUGCUGCUCCACCACCUUCAAGACCUCCUCCUCCCCGACCAGUACAUAACCUCAAGUCGGGAGGAGGUUCAUCUGCUUCUGCCAAUGUCAGAAAGGAUAGUGAAUUUUCUUCUUUUCCAAGUUCCACUCAUUUUUCUCAGGGUCCUAAAUCUACUCCUGCUGCAGCCAAAUUAUCUUUUGCAUUUCAGUUUGAUGAACUUGAAGAUUUUGCCACGGGCAAGAGUCUUGGUAAUGACAAUGAACGUGGAAAUGGUCUUGCUGAUAAAGAAUUAGAGAUGAACUCAGCUGCUGCAGCGAUGAAAGUGGCUAUGGAUAAAGCAGAAGCUAAAUUUAGGCAUGCAAAGGAAGUUCGGGAGAGGGAAAAUACGAAAGCUGUUAAAAGCAAGGAACCUGUGCAAUUGGAAAAGGAUGGCAGAGCUGUGACAGAGGAUGGAGGAAAACAGGAAAGGCUAGAUCAUGAACGGGAGCAAAAGGAGAGAGAGCAAAGAAGACGUGAGAAGGAAAUGGAAGAGAAAGAAAGAGAGCAACAGAGACUUGAGAGAGAAAGAGAAAUGGCUAGACAGGCUGUAGAAAGAGCUACUAGAGAAGCGCGUGAGAGAGCAGCUGUUGAAGCUCUCCAAAGAGCUGAGAGGGCUGCUGUUGAGAAAGCUAAUGCAGAAGCUAGGAAGCGUGCUGAAAGGGCUGCAGUUCAGAGGGUACAAGCUGAAGCCCGUGAAAGGGCUGCUGCUGAGGCAAAGGAAAGGGCUGAGAAGGCUGCAGCAGAGGCAAAAGAGAGGGAAGUGCGGGAACGAGCUGCUGCUGCGAGAGCUGAAUCUGAGGCAAGAGGUAAACAAGAACGUGCUGCGGUCGAAAGGGCUGCUGCAGAGGCUCGAGAAAGAGCUGCUGUACAGGCUCGAGAAAGAGCUGCUGCUGCAAGGAUGAACCAACAACAAAAUGACAAUGAUCUUGAAUCAUUCUUCAGCAAAGGUGCACGAGCUAACAGUGUUCCCAGGCCUCCUAGGUCCAGCACUUCAGACCCUGUAUUUGAUGCCCAAUUUCAGUCAAAAACUUCAGGUGUGUCUUCAAGCAUGAAGAAAGCAUCGUCAUCCACUAAUAUUGUUGAUGAUCUCUCCUCAAUUUUUGGAGCUGCUCCAUCAUCAUCUGGAGCGUUUCAGGAAGUUGAAGGGGAAAGUGAAGAAAGACGAAAAUCCAGGUUGGAACGCCAGCAGAGGGCUCAGGAUCGUGCGGCUAAAGCAUUGGCUGAGAAGAAUCAACGGGACCUACAAACUCAAAGAGAGCAAGCUGAGAAACAUAGGCUCGGUGAAACAUUGGAUUUCGAAAUUAAGCGCUGGGCUGCAGGAAAAGAGGGGAACUUGCGUGCUUUGCUUUCCACCUUACAAUAUGUUCUGUGGCCUGAAUGUGGUUGGCAGCCAGUUUCUUUGACUGAUUUGAUUACAGCAGCAGCGGUCAGAAAGGUUUACAGGAAAGCUACAUUGUGCAUUCAUCCUGAUAAAGUGCAACAGAAGGGUGCCACUAUACAACAAAAAUGUAUUGCUGAGAAGGUUUUUGAUCUACUGAAGGAAGCAUGGAAUAAGUUCAAUUCAGAAGAGCUUUUCUAAUCUUAGACGAACUGAACAACGUCAAGGCAGUUUUGUUCUGGCCACUCUGAUGAAAGGUGAAAGGAAGAGGGGAUUUGAAAAUGUGUGGAACUUUUGCUUAGACGUGUAGCAAGGAUGACAUUGAAAUAGCAUUACUAAGAUAAAAGAUAUUCAAACAACUACCAUUGCCUUCAACAGUUUCUAGCAUUGGCAAGGAGGGAGUGGAUGGGAUUUAUUUAAUUAAUAAUCUACAUGGAAAGGUUUGUAUUUCCGUAGAUCAACCACGAUGCUGGCAAUUGAGCCAACAGCAGCUGCAACUGACACUACGAGGCAGACAAAGCUUAAUAAUUGCAUACCUAUCCAUCUCUGACUCCAUUUUGGGAUCUUCUUUUGUUUGAUACUCAUCUCUACUGGGAAGAAAACACUUAAAGGCCAAAACCCCAGUGCUCCAAGAAGUCCCAAGAUGUCAUUGAAGAAUGGAAGCAACAUUGCCACAAUAGUGGUUAUGAUAACAAAUCCUGUUCUCCAAACUAAUCUAAAUGGGCUUAAAUUGUAAGAUGCAAAGCCAGGAAUGGGAACUUUGUAUUCUCUAUCAACUUUGGGCCAUCUUUUUGAAGCCCAUUUCUCGACAAAGGCAAAUAGUGGCUGAGCAUAGACUUGGUAUGCUCCAACAAGGUGAAUUACGAUAGCAGCAUUAGCAAUAUCUACAAGCCAAUAUGGGUUGUAGAAACCAAAUCCAGUUAGCAGGUUCCCAGGUGCGUCGUCCCCAAAAGCAGCGUAACCCAUGAAGCCACAAAGCAUAUAAAAUGUUGUUGUUACACCAAUACUUAUCUUAGCGGCUUUUUUCAUUGUCUUUGCCUCCGAUGGUGGAGAUUUUAUAGUGUCCUGUGUAAUCAAGAAUAACAUUGCAUUUAAUUA